UCCAGACUCCUACGGGAGGCAGCAGUGAGGAAUAUUGGUCAAUGGGCGGAAGCCUGAACCAGCCAAGUCGCGUGAGGGAAGAAGGCCCUGCGGGUCGCAGACCUCUUUGGACGGGGAGCAAGGCCGCCGACGUGUCGGCGGAAGGAGAGUACCCGUAGAACAAGCAUCGGCUAACUCCGUGCCAGCAGCCGCGGUAAUACGGAGGAUGCGAGCGUUAUCCGGAAUUACUGGGUGUAAAGGGAGCGUAGGCGGGAGAGCAAGUCGACUGUGAAAUCUAUGGGCUUAACCCAUAGCUGCGAUCGAAACUGUUCAUCUUGAGUGAAGUAGAGGCAGGCGGAAUUCCUAGUGUAGCGGUGAAAUGCGUAAAUAUUAGGAGGAACACCAGUGGCGAAGGCGGCCUGCUGGGCUUUAACUGACGCUGAGGCUCGAAAGCGUGGGUAGCAAACAGGAUUAGAUACCCCCGUA
rnacentral:rRNA from 1 species